UACGUAGGGUGCGAGCGUUGUCCGGAAUUAUUGGGCGUAAAGGGCUCGUAGGCGGUUUGUCGCGUCGGGAGUGAAAUCCCGGGGCUCAACCCCGGGCCUGCAGUGGAUACGGGCUGGCUGGAGGCAGGCAGGGGAGAACGGAAUUCCUGGUGUAGCGGUGAAAUGCGCAGAUAUCAGGAGGAACACCGGUGGCGAAGGCGGUUCUCUGGGCCUGUUCUGACGCUGAGGAGCGAAAGCGUGGGGAGCGAACAGG
rnacentral:rRNA from 1 species